GUUACAAGCCUUCCGCUGAGCUUCAGCUCUCUGACCUUCUCCACUUUGUGCACUGUACGCACUUUUCUCUAACUUUUUUUUUGUUUUUUGUAAAGUUCAAGUUCAGAUUUAAUUUCAGAAAAUCGUUGUUUUCCCACUACUACUGAAGCACAGUGUAUAUAUUGUGUGUUAAACUUUGUUUCCGAGUUCUAUGGUGAAGUUUCACUUUUUUGCUGGAGCUUGUAAUUUGAAGACUUUAGUGUAACUUCGCAACUUUUAGGAAAAAUUCUAGGUGGAUUAUGCAUGUGAAUCAAACGAAAGCAAUAGAAAAUCUAUUUUACAGGUUUAGAUUUAGCAGAGGAAGGAUUAAGGAAUGUAAGCAAGUUAAAUAGUGGAGUAAUUACUUAUUCUUCUUUUGCCUUCAUUCCAACUUCAGUUGAACGAGAUGUCUUGAUUUACUGCCCCAAUGAAACUUAAGUAAGGAUAACAGAUUAUGUAGUAUUAAGGGUUGUUUGGCUAAAAGACAAGUUAUACAGGACUAUAAAUACAUAUUUAUUGUCAUUUAACUAAGUCGCUCUAAAUAAUUUAUAUUACAUUUCUGACAUUUACGUGUUCUUAUGUAGGUAUUACUAAUCAUAUGUGUAUUCGGUAUUCCACAUUGAACUCGGUAUAAUAAUUUGUCAAUUAGCAUAAGUAAUGCGCUUCGAUUGCUUGCCUGGAAUUUCAUGGUUCAUCCUUUAUAGAAUUUUGACUGACUGCUCCUUUUACAGCUUUAAGAGAGAUGCCUAUAGCUGUGAUGACUGAGAAGGCGAAGUCCCAACAUUACGAGCUUCCUACGUCUUUCUUCAAGUUUGUUCUUGGAAAGCACUUCAAAUACAGGCAAGUAUUUCCAUAACUGUAAAGUUUCAUCCUCCUUCUGCAUUACCAAUCUUCCUUUUGUAGUCAUACUUAAGCAUAGAAUAGCAAUAUUCUGUUUUGUCACAACAUCUGCUGAAUAAUAAUCUGAUGAUCUUACUGGAUUUUUUGUUAUACAUGCAGCUGCUGUUAUUUCCACGACAAGUCAAGCACUUUAGAGGAUGCUGAAAAAGCAAUGAUGGAAUUAUACUGUGAAAGGUCACAGUUGAAAGAUGGACACACUGUACUAGAUGUUGGAUGUGGCUGGGGAUCUCUUUCUCUAUACAUAGCACAAAAGUACAGUAGCUGCAAAAUUACUGGAAUUUGCAAUUCAGUGACUCAAAAAGCACAUAUCGAAGAGCAAUGCCGGUACUCUGAUUUGCUUUGAUGAGCUAAAGCAUACUGUCGUUAUGUUUAUUUUGACUCAGGAAACAUAUAAGCGUCCCUAAGUCCUGCUUCAUUUACUUAUCAAAAGAAAAUAUAUCCUUCUUCAUUAUUCUUUCAAAUUUUCUGUUACGAAAUCCAUUUGGUGUGGCAAAAAUACAGUAGCUGCAAAAUUACUGGAAUUUGCAAUUCAGUGACUCAAAAAGCACAUAUCGAAGAGCAAUGCCGGUACUGUUUUUUAUAUGCUUUUGAUGAGCUAAAGGAUUACUGUCGUUAUGUUUUAUGUUGACUCAGGAAACAUAUAAGCAUUUCUGUGUCCUGCUUCAUUAGUCUUUCAAACUUUCUGUUGCGAAAUCCAUUUGGUGUUGGUUCUAGUUAUCAAGUAAAUAACCUCAUCUGAGAAUCUUGUUUAUGUUAAUUUAACCAGAGUCUUCCCUCAAAAUGUUCACCUCUAUGUGGAUUGUGUACACAUUCUGGUGUGUUCCUAUAGCUGGACAAAAUUUUCUAAAUGUUGAUUAGUGAGAUGGGUUUGUAUAGUUUCUCUUCUAAAAUAAUGGAAAGAUCAAGUUCUAUAUCGAAAACUAUCUCAUUUUUCCUGUGGUUUAUGCGUUUAGGGAACUUCAGCUGCAGAAUGUGGAGAUCAUUGUUGCAGAUAUUAGCACAUUUGAGAUGGAAGGUUCCUAUGAUCGAAUAUUGUCUAUUGAAAUGUUUGAGGUAUUAAGUUUAAACAUAGUAUUUGUUCUCAGGUUACAAUUUACAGUUACACUAUAUAGCUAAUAAGCAUGUUCACUUCAUAGCAUAUGAAGAACUAUGGAGAUCUCCUCAAGAAAAUCUCCAGAUGGAUGAAACCAGAUAGUCUUCUUUUUGUUCAUCAUUUUUGCCACAAGGCAUUCGCUUACCACUUCGAGGUACAUACAUUGAUCUGCUGAUGCAUUGGUUUUUAGAUAAUGACAAUUCUAUUCACCAGAAUAAAUUCGAAUACCAAUCAUCCCCUACUUCAAUUACAGAUAGCGUAUAUAAUUUUCUGCAGGAUGUCAAUGAUGAUGAUUGGAUCACUCGCUACUUCUUCAGUGGAGGUACAAUGCCUUCUGCAAAUCUCCUCCUUUAUUUUCAGGUGAGCUUGUAAAAUCCAACAUGCUGCUUGUUGCUUACAGCUAGUACAAUCAAUCACAUAACCCAUUGAAAGCUGCAUAAAUGACUAACAACUAUCAGAAACUGCAAGAAACAAGCGUUUUGCUGUUGAAAGAACAUGCCUUUUGUGGAAUUGUGGCCUUAAACCAUUUAUUGAUUGCUUAGUUUUUAAGGUGAUUUUUGCAUGCAGGAUGAUGUUUCUGUGGUUAAUCACUGGCUCGUUAACGGAAAGCAUUAUGCACAGACAAGGUGAGCUUAUAUAGAACGUGAUUGAUAUAUUAGCGGUAAAAUGAUAUGGUUUUCCAAUUUGAAUAUUUUCAGAUAAAAAAGACGUGAUUGAUAUAUUAGUGAUAAAAUGAUAUGGUUUCCAAUUUGAAUAUUGUCAGAUAAAAAAGAAUGAAAAAACAUCUGUGAUGCUGUUUAAUGGGUUUUAGCUUACGAGAAUACCUUGCUCCUUAGACUCUCAUUUGAUCAAACAACUAAAUUAGUAUACCCCUUUUCAGUGAAGAAUGGCUUAAGAGAAUGGACCAGAACAAAACUUCCAUUAAGCCAAUAAUGGAAUCAACUUAUGGGAAGGAUUCAGCUGUUAAAUGGACUGUCUAUUGGAGAACAUUUUUCAUUUCAGUUGCUGAACUGUUUGGCUACAACAAUGGAGAAGAAUGGAUGGUUGCACAUUUCCUCUUCAAGAAGAAAUGAUUUGGCCACUGCCUACUCUUAUACUGCAAACAAACUGUAGAAGAAAUAAGCAUGUUUGCUCAGUUUAGUGAAACACUCUGUACGUCUCAGCACUGCCCGCUUUUAUACUGCAAACAAACUGUAGAAGAAAUAAGCAUGUCUGCUCAGCUGUCCACAUGCAUUUUACCCAAAAAGCUUCAAUAGGAGAACACUCUGUACGUCUCAUGUUUGAAGAGUUGGAUCUUGCACUGAUUUCCU
rnacentral:lncRNA from 1 species